UGCUAUUUUGCUGACGAGUGGCGGACGGGUGAGUAAUGCUUGGGAAUAUGCCUUAUGGUGGGGGACAACAGUUGGAAACGACUGCUAAUACCGCAUAACAUCUCCGGAUCAAAGUGGGGGACCUUCGGGCCUCACGCCAUAAGAGUAGCCCAAGUGGGAUUAGCUAGUUGGUAAGGUAAUGGCUUACCAAGGCGACGAUCCCUAGUUGGUCUUAGAGGAUGACCAGCCACACUGGAACUGAGACACGGUCCAGACUCCUACGGGAGGCAGCAGUGGGGAAUAUUGCACAAUGGGCGCAAGCCUGAUGCAGCCAUGCCGCGUGUGUGAAGAAGGCUUUCGGGUUGUAAAGCACUUUCAGCGAGGAGGAAAGGUUGUACUUUAAUAGAGUGCAGCUGUGACGUUACUCGCAGAAGAAGCACCGGCUAACUCCGUGCCAGCAGCCGCGGUAAUACGGAGGGUGCGAGCGUUAAUCGGAAUUACUGGGCGUAAAGCGCGCGUAGGCGGUUAAUUAAGUCAGAUGUGAAACCCCAGGGCUCAACCUUGGAACUGCAUUUGAAACUGGUUAACUAGAGUUUUGUAGAGGGUGGUAGAAUUUCAGGUGUAGCGGUGAAAUGCGUAGAGAUCUGAAGGAAUACCAGUGGCGAAGGCGG
rnacentral:rRNA from 1 species